rnacentral:rRNA from 1 species
CAGCAGUGAGGAAGGUAGUGUAGUUAAUAGCUGCAUUAUUUGACGUUAGCUGCAGAAGAAGCACCGGCUAACUCCGUGCCAGCAGCCGCGGUAAUACGGAGGGUGCGAGCGUUAAUCGGAAUUACUGGGCGUAAAGCGCAUGCAGGUGGUUUGUUAAGUCAGAUGUGAAAGCCCGGGGCUCAACCUCGGAAUAGCAUUUGAAACUGGCAGACUAGAGUACUGUAGAGGGGGGUAGGAAUUUCAGGUGUAGCGGUGAAAUGCGUAGAGAUCUGAAGGAAUACCGGUGGCGAAGGCGGCCCCCUGGACAGAUACUGACACUCAGAUGCGAAAGCGUGGGGAGCAAACAGGAUUAGAUACCCUGGUAG